rnacentral:rRNA from 1 species
UACGAAGGGGGCUAGCGUUGCUCGGAAUCACUGGGCGUAAAGGGUGCGUAGGCGGGUCUUUAAGUCAGGGGUGAAAUCCUGGAGCUCAACUCCAGAACUGCCUUUGAUACUGAUGAUCUUGAGUUCGGGAGAGGUGAGUGGAACUGCGAGUGUAGAGGUGAAAUUCGUAGAUAUUCGCAAGAACACCAGUGGCGAAGGCGGCUCACUGGCCCGGUACUGACGCUGAGGUGCGAAAGCGUGGGGAGCAAACAGG